CAGUCGCCGCGGUAAUACGGAGGGUGCAAGCGUUAAUCGGAAUUACUGGGCGUAAAGCGCACGCAGGCGGUCUGACAAGUCAGAUGUGAAAUCCCCGGGCUUAACCUGGGAACUGCAUUUGAAACUGUCAGGCUGGAGUCUUGUAGAGGGGGGUGGAAUUCCAGGUGUAGCGGUGAAAUGCGCAGAGAUCUGGAGGAAUACCGGUGGCGAAGGCGGCCCCCUGGACAAAGACUGACGCUCAGGUGCGAAAGCGUGGGGAGCAAACAGGAUUAGAUACCCCGGUAGUCCCUGUCUCUUAUAC
rnacentral:rRNA from 1 species